CAGCAGCCGCGGGAAUACGUAGGGUGCGAGCGUUAAUCGGAAUUACUGGGCGUAAAGCGUGCGCAGGCGGUUAUAUAAGACAGAUGUGAAAUCCCCGGGCUCAACCUGGGACCUGCAUUUGUGACUGUAUAGCUAGAGUACGGUAGAGGGGGAUGGAAUUCCGCGUGUAGCAGUGAAAUGCGUUGAGAUCGGAAAGGACACCAACGGCGAAAGCACUCUGCUGGGCCAACACUGACACUGAGAGACGAAAGCUAGGGGAGCAAAUGGGAUUAGAUACCCGCGUAGUCCCUGUCUCUUAUAC
rnacentral:rRNA from 1 species